GAGUUUGAUUCUGGCUCAGGACGAACGCUGGCGGCGUGCCUAAUACAUGCAAGUCGAACGAACGGAGAAAGAAGCUUGCUUUUUUCAAAGUUAGUGGCGAACGGGUGAGUAACACGUGGGUAACCUGCCCAUCAGAGGGGGAUAACAUUCGGAAACGGAUGCUAAAACCGCAUAGGUUCCUUAGUUGCAUGACUGAGGAAGGAAAAGAGGCGUAAGCUUCUGCUGGUGGAUGGACCCGCGGUGCAUUAGCUAGUUGGUGAGGUAACGGCUCACCAAGGCGAUGAUGCAUAGCCGACCUGAGAGGGUGAUCGGCCACAUUGGGACUGAGACACGGCCCAAACUCCUACGGGAGGCAGCAGUAGGGAAUCUUCCGCAAUGGACGCAAGUCUGACGGAGCAACGCCGCGUGAGUGAAGAAGGUUUUCGGAUCGUAAAACUCUGUUGUUAGAGAAGAAUAAGCAUAAUAGUAACUGAUUAUGCCGUGACCGUU
rnacentral:rRNA from 1 species